rnacentral:rRNA from 1 species
ACAACCUGCCCUUAGGUUGGGUAUAAACCCGGGAAACUGGGUAUAAUACCCGAUAGGUCUCGAUUGCUGGAAUGCAUCGAGAUUUAAAGCUCCGGCGCCUAAGGAUGGGUCUGCGGCCUAUCAGGUAGUAGUGGGUGUAGCGUACCUACUAGCCUACGACGGGUACGGGUUGUGAGAGCAAGAGCCCGGAGAUGGAUUCUGAGACACGAAUCCAGGCCCUACGGGGUGCAGCAGGCGCGAAAACUUUACAAUGCUGGCAACAGCGAUAAGGGAACCUCGAGUGCCAGGUUACAAAUCUGGCUGUCGAGAUGCCUAAAAAGCAUUUCAUAGCAAGGGCCGGGCAGGACCGGUGCCAGCCGCCGCGGUAACACCGGCGGCUCGAGUGGUAACCGUUAUUAUUGGGUCUAAAGGGUCUGUAGCCGGCCGGAUAAGUCUCUUGAGAAAUCUGGCAGCUUAACUGUCAGGCUUUCAGGAGAUACUGUCUGGCUCGAGGCCGGGAGAGGUGAGAGGUACUUCAGGGGUAGGGGUGAAAUCUUGUAAUCCUUGAAGGACCACCAGUGGCGAAGGCGUCUCACCAGAACGGACCUGACGGCAAGGGACGAAAGCUAGGGGCACGAACCGGAUUAGAUACCCGGGUAGUCCUAGCCGUAAACGAUACUCGCUAGGUGUCGGCCACGGUGCGACCGUUGUCGGUGCCGUAGGGAAGCCGUGAAGCGAGCCACCUGGGAAGUACGGCCGCAAGGCUGAAACUUAAAGGAAUUGGCGGGGGAGCACCACAACGGGUGGAGCUUGCGGUUUAAUUGGAUUCAACGCCGGAAAUCUUACCGGGACCGACAGCAAUAUGAAGGCCAGGCUGAAGACUUUGCCGGAUUAGCUGAGAGGUGGUGCAUGGCCGUCGUCAAUUCGUACUGUGAAGCAUCCUGUUAAGUCAGGCAACGAGCGAGACCCACGCCCACAGUUGCCAGCGUACUCUCUGGAGUGACGGGUACACUGUGGGGACCGCCGCUGCUAAAGCGGAGGAAGGAAUGGGCAGCGGUAGGUCAGUAUGCCCCGAAUAUCCCGGGCUACACGCGAGCUACAAUGGUUGGUACAAUGGGUAUCUACCCCGAAAGGGGACGGGAAUCUCCUAAAACCAAUCUUAGUUCGGAUUGAGGGCUGCAACUCGCCCUCAUGAAGCUGGAAUCCGUAGUAAUCGCGUUUCAACAGAACGCGGUGAAUACGUCCCUG